AUGGGUGCGCACACGCUUCUCACCCCGGUUGUCAGCAAGAUCUUCUGCAGCUCCCUGCAGGCCGUGCUCCUGGUCCGCCGCCGUCCCCCCGCCGUCACCGGAGGCGGCUUCGUCGUCACCGACCGCGAGCAGAGGGUAGUCUUCAGCGUCGACGGCUGCGGGAUCAUCGGCGCCAGCGGGCAGCUCGUCGUCAGGGACGGCGACGGCACCGCCAUCCUCUUCAUCCACAAGAAGGGAGGAGUCGUCCAAGCGCUGAGCGUUCACAACCGGUGGAAAGGGUACCUCAUGGACUACGGCGAGCCGAGCAAGCCGGUGUUCAGCUUGCAGGACCCGAAGCCGGUGCUCAGCUGCGCGGCGGGCGACGUCCGGGUCACCGUCGAACCCAAGGGGAGGAAGCGGCACUGGGACUACGAGGUCACGGGAUCCUUCGCCCACAGGGCUUGCGCCGUCAAGAGCCGCACAGGCCACGUCGUAGCACAGAUUGGAGUGAAGGGGAUGAUGGCCGGCCGGGACUUCUACCAUGUGGUGGUGCAGCCGGGCUAUGACCAGGCCUUUGUGAUUGGCGUAAUUGCCAUCCUCGACAACAUGAAUGGGGAAUCCACAAGGUGUUAA
rnacentral:rRNA from 1 species